AUGAUGCCAACUGUCAGUGCUAUUGUCAAAUUCCGUGUCUAGAACGAAAUUGAAAACAUUGGAUGCCUCAAAAGUUUGUUUAGUUAUACCCAAGUUUAAACGAACAUCAGGUUUAUAAACAAGGGCUUCAUAGUUUGAGGCAUGGGGAUAUUAUCAUAAAAAACAUUAAUUUCAGGGGGAGAUCUCAUACGAGAAAAAAGCACUACAUUGCUUUUGGAAACGGAUAAUUCUAAGCCAUUAUCAUUCAUCCAACCCUUCAAUAUACCAAGAGAUGUUACAUGGAAAAAGGUGAAUUUAAUCCUGAUAAAUUAUUAGAAAUUGAAGUUGGCAAGCACUGAAUUUGUAACUCAGGAACUGAAGAAGGAGCUAGAUUAUCUAGGAAUUGUUCAGCUAGCUCUGAAGAUAAAGAGCCUCUAGAUGAUGGAUUAACACCCAUCCUGAAUCUCCUAACGCUUUGCCAAACAACAGAAACAUUAACAUCUGGACAAAUAUUAUUACAGAAUCUUCUCCAUCCCUCAAACUUCUUCUUUUUCAAAAAUUUACGAGUGUCCCGUGCCACUUGACAGUAAAGCUCAUAGUUCACAGAUGUCAUUAAACAGGAAUAAACCCUUUCUGCUUCCCUCCUUCUUUUUAUAGCCUCUGUGCACUCGUUGUCCCACCAAGGUGGACAGGGGAUUUUUCUGGAGCCGCCCACUUUAAUUGGGAAUAAAGCAUCUGCAACCUCAAUCAUGACUUUGACAAGAGCCUCAGAGCAAGCCAUCUCAUUACCCAUACAGACAGAAGGGAGGUUUGAAACUUUACUGUCAACUUGCUGACUAAAUGCAGACCAAUCACUAGGUAAUCUAUAUUUCAUACGGGGAGUAGGUUUCGGAGCUAUCAUUGGAUGUAACGAAGGAAACUUAAUAGUUAUGGGAUGAUGGUCACUUCCACAAGUAGAAGGGUGAACUGACCACGAAAGAAUAGAAGCAAGAUUAGGCGUGCAUAUAGAGAGAUCUGGAGCACUAGGGCCCUCGUCAGGGCCAGUACGCCGAGUAGGAGUACCAUCAUUUAAAAUACAGAGAUUGAGAGAAUUUAAAAUUCGCAACAUUUCUUCUCCAUAAAAAAUAUGUCUAGAUGAACCUCCCCAUGCCGGGUGCUGGCCAUUAAAAUCACCUAGUACUAAAAAAGGGCUUGGUAUACAUUUUAAUAUAUUAGUGAGAUCACUAUACAAAGCUAAAGUAGGAUGAGCAAUAUAUACAGAAACUAUACACACAUUAUUUACAGAGAUAGCAAUGGCUUCAACACCAUUAUUUACAGGAGGAAGAGAUAUUUGUUUGUAAGGAACAGAACUAUUGAUAAGGAUGGCAACACCACCAUGCGCAUCACUAGCUCUGUCCUUCCUAAGAAUAUUAAAACCUGAUAUUCUAAAAGAAUAUUCAGGCAAAAGCCAUGUCUCUGAGAGACAGACUAUUGAAGGAUUAUAUUUAUUAAUUAAAAAUAUUAUUUCAGGUUUUUUAUCAGCAGCACUUCUACAAUUCCACUGUAGGAGUACCUGAUCCAUUAUUGGGAUUGAUAGACACAGUGUUUUCAAUUAGUUGGGCAACGUGGGACGGUAUAGAAUUGGUGGGAAUUAAACUGGAUUUAAACAAAAGCUCAAUAAGAGACAAAAUUAAUUUCGCUAUGGGUUGGUUUGAUUUAUCAUUUUCUGAGUUAUCAUUUUUCAGAGCAGAACCAUUUGGUGAAGAUAGAGGUAUAUCAUAAUCUUUUAUUAGAGAUGCAUGUGCAGCCCGGUCAUACCCAGCCGAAGGCGUAGGAGGAGCACGAGGCUUAAGGAAAACUGUUUUUUUAUAUGAGCUGGAAGAUGGGGACAAUCGAGCUGCUGGGUUAGCAGCCUCAUCUUGAGAUUGUUUAUGUUGCGAAGUUCUAAGAACGUCAGCAAAAGAUUUGGAGACAACGGGGUGUAAUUUGGAAGCCUCUAAAUAUGAGAUGCAGUUUUGAGCCAUUGACACUUUGAUAUUUUUUUGUCGGGAAAAUUCAGGACAAGCCUUACUAGUGGCAAAAUGAUAACCAGAACAAAGACAGCAUGAUCCAUCCUCUUGUUCUACUGAACAAGAUUCGGCAGUGUGACCUUGCCCACAUUUAUAACAGCGAGGCUUGGAGCGGCAUUGAGCCUUUGUAUGACCAAAACGGCAGCAGCUGUAACAUUGAAUGGUUGGAUAAAUGUACAAGUCGACAGUCAAUGGAGUAUAGCACAUAAACACACGUUUUGGUAGUACUUGUCCAUCGAAAGUUAAAACAACUGUUUCAGUGUUAGUAAAUUCUGGAGACCCAUUUAUAAUUUUUUUACUUUUAAUUCUCCUAGCUUUAAGAACUUUCCCACAACCAAUGGGGACACUCACAUUAUCCAAAAUCUCAUCCUCAGGCCAGUCAGCAGGGACACCCCUGACAACACCCAUCCGUGUGAUAAUAAAGGUUGGAAUGAAAGCUCUCAAACUAUGGCUGGCAAGGCAAGGAUUUUCAAUAAAAGCGUUAGCAUCAGAAUAUGUGGAAAAGGCCAUGGAUAGUCUAUUUCUGCCGAUCCGUUUCAAGCUACCGUUCACUAUGUUUUUAAUCAUAUUUUUCUUUAGAACGCUACCAAACUGAAUGGGAUGCAGUGAAACAGGAUCGUCAGGAGUAGACUGCUCCUUUUGAAUGUGCACCACAUAGGGUGCUAGGUCGGAAGAAACAUAUUUCCUACCAACUUGCUGUUGCUGCUGGGUUUGCUGAUUAGUUACUGUGACUGUUGGUGGUGGAGGUGGAGGAUCAGGUAUUGUUGAUAAAAGAGAAUUGUCUUCGUCAGAAUUGCAAUUGCACUUGUCUACACCCGAAACGUUUUUACCAUUUUUACUUUUGCGCUUUUUGUUGCAAUGUUUGCAAAUCUUUCUCAAGGGUCUUACACGUUUUCUGACUUGAGAGGAGCACCCGUCCUCCGUAUCCAUUGACGAAGUAUCGUCAACAAUAACUUCCAUCCCUACAUGAGGGACACGAUGACGAUCCCGGUCGCCACCGGGGUCGUCGGGGGGAUCAACCCCCAUAGUAAAAAGAAAAACUCACUUACCACUACACAGCAGCAAGUAUUUUAGAAGAAUAUAUAUAAAUAUGAAUUAACAGAUAAAAUAAUACAGAAAUACUCCACUGAACCCACACGAAAUCAAUUAAAUUAAAUUUUCACUAAAAAACACGACCGCCAAUUUCGGAAGUUUCCCGC